rnacentral:rRNA from 1 species
CCUACGGGAGGCAGCAGUGAGGAAUAUUGGUCAAUGGCCUGAAGGCUGAACCAGCCAAGCCGCGUGAAGGACGAAGGUGCCAAGCAUUGUAAACUUCUUGUGGCAAGGGACAAAAUCAGGCUCGAGAGCCUGACCGAGGGUACUUGAAGAAAAAGCAUCGGCUAACGCCGUGCCAGCAGCCGCGGUAAUACGGAGGAUGCAAGAGUUAUCCGGAUUUAUGGGGUUUAAAGGGUGCGCAGGCGGGAGAUCAAGUCAGCGGGAACAUGUCGGGGCUCAACCCCGGCAGGCCUUUGAAACUGGUUUUCUAGAGUUGGAGAGAAGUAUGCGGAAUUCGUGGUGUAGCGGUGAAAUGCAUAAAUAUCACGAAGAACUCCGAUUGCGAAGGCAGCAUACCGGCUCCAUACUGACGCUGAGGCACGAAAGCGUGGGGAUCGAACAGGAUUAGAUACCCCUGUAGUC